rnacentral:misc_RNA from 1 species
AAGUCGUAACAAGGUUUCCGUAGGUGAACCUGCGGAAGGAUCAUUACAGUAUUCUUUUGCCUGCGCUUAAUUGCGCGGCGAAAAACCUUACACACUAUGUUUUUCUAAUUUGAAACUUUUGCUUUGGUCUGCCCUUAGAAAUAAGUUGGGCCAAAGGUUUUACACCCAAAACUUUCAAUAUUUUAUAUUGGAAUUGUUAUUUUUAAUUAUUUGUCAAUUUGUUGAUUAAAUUCAGAAAUCUCAAA